GAAAAAUGUCACUUACCUGCAAUCGCUCCCAUAUACAUUGUAUUCACCAUAUAUCACAAUAUGCCAGUUUAGUCCUUCAGUUCUCUGGUUUACAACUUAAUCUUUGCCUCACUAGUUACAGUAAGCUUGAAAGAAUCCAAUCUCCUGGAUAGUUUAAACCCGACCUCUGUCAGUGAUUUUAAUCUUAUUCCUCUUGGCACAUCAACAGUCCAGGUUUUCCACUCACUCUUGGCUGCCUCCUUG